UGGGGAAUAUUGCACAAUGGGGGAAACCCUGAUGCAGCGACGCCGCGUGAACGAAGAAGGUAUUCGUAUCGUAAAGUUCUGUCCUAUGGGAAGAUAAUGACAGUACCAUAGUAGAAAGCUCCGGCUAAAUACGUGCCAGCAGCCGCGGUAAUACGUAUGGAGCGAGCGUUGUCCGGAAUUAUUGGGCGUAAAGGGUACGCAGGCGGUUUAAUAAGUCGAAUGUUAAAGAUCGGGGCUCAACCCCGUAAAGCAUUGGAAACUGAUAAACUUGAGUAGUGGAGAGGAGAGUGGAAUUCCUAGUGUAGUGGUGAAAUACGUAGAUAUUAGGAGGAAUACCAGUAGCGAAGGCGACUUUCUGGACACAAACUGACGCUGAGGUACGAAAGCGUGGGGAGCAAACAGG
rnacentral:rRNA from 1 species